AGCAAUUCCCCCGCGCGUUCUUCAUUAUAAAGUUGCUGUAUUCAAACAGCAAUCUAACCCUAAGCCAGGUUAUAGACUGGUUUAUGCUCAGCUUCUGAGCAUUGACUAAAUUAAUCCUCAUUGCACUUAGUUGUCGGGUGUGUUUUUGGGGUUUCUUUCACACACGACACGAGGUACCUAACAAGAAACCUUCGAAGAAUGGCGGGCGAGUGCUAGAUCCAACACUGGGAAUUACAACU
rnacentral:telomerase_RNA from 1 species